rnacentral:rRNA from 1 species
CACGUAGGGCGCAAGCGUUGUCCGGAAUUAUUGGGCGUAAAGAGCUCGUAGGCGGUCUGUUGCGUCCGCUGUGAAAACUCGGGGCUUAACCCCGAGCCUGCAGUGGAUACGGGCAGACUAGAGGUAGGUAGGGGAGAAUGGAAUUCCCGGUGUAGCGGUGAAAUGCGCAGAUAUCGGGAGGAACACCCGUGGCGAAAGCGGCUCUCUGGGACGGUACUGACGCUGAGACGCGAAAGCGUGGGGAGCAAACAGG